rnacentral:rRNA from 1 species
AUUGAACGCUGGCGGCAGGCCUAACACAUGCAAGUCGAACGGUAACAGGAAACAGCUUGCUGUUUCGCUGACGAGUGGCGGACGGGUGAGUAAUGUCUGGGAAACUGCCUGAUGGAGGGGGGUAACUACUGGAAACGGUAGCUAAUACCGCAUAACGUCGCAAGACCAAAGAGGGGGACCUUCGGGCCUCCUGCCAUCGGAUGUGCCCAGAUGGGAUUAGCUAGUAGGUGGGGUAACGGCUCACCUAGGCGACGAUCCCUAGCUGGUCUGAGAGGAUGACCAGCCACACUGGAACUGAGACACGGUCCAGACUCCUACGGGAGGCAGCAGUGGGGAAUAUUGCACAAUGGGCGCAAGCCUGAUGCAGCCAUGCCGCGUGUAUGAAGAAGGCCUUCGGGUUGUAAAGUACUUUCAGCGGGGAGGAAGGGAGUAAAGUUAAUACCUUUGCUCAUUGACGUUACCCGCAGAAGAAGCACCGGCUAACUCCGUGCCAGCAGCCGCCGCCG